ACCUGCGGAAGGAUCAUUAUUGAAAUAAACCUGAUGGGUUGUUGCUGGCUCUCUAGGGAGCAUGUGCACGCCUUGUCAUUUUUAUAUCUCCACCUGUGCACCUUUUGUAGACCCAGGGAUAUCUUUCCAGGGGUCUAUGUUGCUUCUUCAUUUACCCCAAUGUAUGUCAAUAGAAUGUUGUGCCCAUGAUAAAAAAUCUAUACAACUUUCAGCAACGGAUCUCUUGGCUCUCGCAUCGAUGAAGAACGCAGCGAAAUGCGAUAAGUAAUGUGAAUUGCAGAAUUCAGUGAAUCAUCGAAUCUUUGAACGCACCUUGCGCUCCUUGGUAUUCCGAGGAGCAUGCCUGUUUGAGUGUCAUUAAUAUUAUAUAUCAAACCCUCUUUCUCUGAGUGGUUUGGAUGUGGGGGUGCUGGCCUCUUGAAGGGGUCAGCUCCCCUGAAAUACAUUAGCAGAACGACCUGUUUGUUCAUUGGUGUGAUAACUAUCUACGCUAUUGAACAGUGAAGGCAGUUCAGCUUCCUAACAGUCUUUGGACAAUUUAUCAUCUAUGUGACCUCAAAUCAGGUAGGACUACCCGCUGAACUUAA
rnacentral:rRNA from 1 species